rnacentral:lncRNA from 1 species
AGUUUUCCGAAAUAGAUCAUCCAGAGUCACAAUUGGUGGGUCAAGUUUCUCAGGCAGCGGGGGAGGGGGUGGAAGAGUGAACCGCUCUCUCGCUGGGGCUUGGUUCGAUAUGGGAGGUGGAGGUGGCAGAGUUGGAGGGGGUGGAAGCUGCUGUCUUGCUGCAGGUUGGCGUGGUGAAGGCUGAGGCUGCGAGGUGGGUGCUGCAGCAGGAGCAGGAGCAGCCGAACCCGUACUAACAGGUGCAGCAGGUGACGGAGGAGGAGCCUCCGUACGCAUUUUUACUUCCUGAGGAUCGACAAACUCAGCAACUAGGGGGC